AUGAGCUCACUGGUUCUACUGCUGGCCACCCUGGGGCUCCUGGUUCAGGGUUCAUCAGGACAAAUCACCCUGACUCAGUCUCCUGAAUCUCAGUCUGUUGUUCCAGGACAGACUGUCUCCAUCAGAUGUAAAACCAGUUCAGGUGUUUACAGCAAUCUCCACUGGUACCUUCAGAAACCUGGAGAAGCUCCUAAACUCCUGAUUUAUUAUGCUACAAGCCGUCAGUCUGGAGUUCCAGGUCGUUUCAGUGGAAGUGGAUCUGGGACUGACUACACUCUGACCAUCAGUGGAGUUCAGGCUGAAGAUUCAGGAGUUUACUACUGUCAGCAGAGUAACAGCUUCCCGUUCACACAGUGAUACAACGUCGUACAAAAACCUCCCUCAGCUGGAGAGGAACUGAUCUGAAUCAACAGCUGCACUCAAACUAAAACUAAAGGCUUUACUAAAAAUAAACAAUUAUUUAUAAUUUCCUUUGAAUAUUUGAACACUAAAUAUACUGUACAUAACAAAAAGUUAUACUUUUAAUGUUUUCAUACAAACAAGGUUUGAUACUGAUGAUACUGUUGAAGUAAUACUUCACUUUGAUCAGGUCAUUCACUGGAGUAUGAUGACAUGUGGACAAUCAAUUUGUAGAUAUUAAUUUUAUUUCUUUCCAUUUUUCAUAGAAACUAAAAUAUUAAUUUUCUGGAUGAUAAAAUGUCAUCUCAGUAAUAUUUCAUUCAUGUUGUAAAAAUACUAAUCACAUCUAUAACAUAUUUAAUUGUUUUCAUUUUUUUGUCCAACAAAUUUGUAUUUUAUGAUUUAGACCAAAAUAAUUUAUGAAGU